CAUGUACUCCCUCUGUCCGAAAAAGCUUGUCCCUCAAAUGAAUGUAUCUAGCACCAAGUUAGUGCUAGAUACGUCCAUUUGAGAUACAAGCUCGGGACAACAUUUUCUGGACAGAGGGAGUAUAUC
rfam:Triticum aestivum genome assembly, contig: Triticum_aestivum_CS42_TGACv1_scaffold_220756_3B